rnacentral:rRNA from 1 species
GGGGAAUCUUGCACAAUGGGGGCAACCCUGAUGCAGCGACGCCGCGUGAGCGAUGAAGCCCUUCGGGGCGUAAAGCUCUUUCGACCGGAACGAUAAUGACGGUACCGGGAGAAGAAGCUGCGGCUAACUACGUGCCAGCAGCCGCGGUAAUACGUAGGCAGCAAGCGUUGUUCGGAGUUACUGGGCGUAAAGAGUGCGUAGGCGGUUUUCUAAGUUUGGUGUGAAAUCUCCCGGCUUAACUGGGAGGGUGCACUGAAAACUGGGGCGCUCGAGUAUGGGAGAGGAAAGCGGAAUUCCUGGUGUAGCGGUGAAAUGCGUAGAGAUCAGGAGGAACACCUGCGGUGCAGACGGCUUUCUGGACCAUCACUGACGCUGAGGCACGAAAGCGUGGGUAGCAAACA